AAGGAAGGUAUAAAUUCGUGGUCAAGAUAGUAUGGCGUUACGAGUCACGCCCCUUUGCUCCCUGCGUCACAUUUAGUCGCCAUCAAGAACGACACUGAAAUCCCAUGGCUGGCGUUUGGCUGGGGUUGCCCCUCUGCAGGUAAGGGAGUCGGUCGCGAUGUGUCCUGUGUAUGAAAUUCCUCAGGUGGUAGCGGUGUUUUGUGUUUUAUUUUUAGUCAGCGGUUUGAGUGAGACUGCUCCAGCGCAGCGAGUGCGGGUGUUCACCUGAUAUCACGGACGCGUUAUGUCCCUCUACUGAGCCCAUUGUUUCCCCGAUAGACUGCGAGCUCUCAGCUCCCCGGCACAUUGUUGUCCGUUUGACUGAUGGGAAUUCAGAUCUUACUUUAUAUGGUAUGUGGUUUUAAAUUUAUUGAGGGGAGAUUCAGAUUUUUAUCCUUUAAUUGGUAAUCACAGAGGGUUUGUUUGAUCUGUCUAACUUGUAAUAUUAUAAUAGACAGAUCCGUGACGUCGCUGUUUACGAUUAGCUUCGCUGUUGUUGAGCUACGUGGGAACGAUCAUCUGGAGACACUGUUGCUUUGUUUUGGUUAAUUUUGGUUUUGUUAAUUCGUUUUGUUUCUUUGCCAUUGAAGUGUGUGUGUGUGUGUGUGUGUGUGUUUUCUUGGAUGCAUAAACCUUACUCGUUUGUUCUUUAAGUAUUUGGGAAAUGUGUGAUUGUGUGUGUUUGGCGUGAGUUAGUUUCAUUGCGCUCAGCUAUUUGUUUGCUGUGUUGUGUUGUGUCUGUCUAAAUUUAGUUGUGUAAGUGUUCCUUAUUGUGUUGUGAUAUGAA